rnacentral:rRNA from 1 species
UACGUAGGGGGCUAGCGUUGUCCGGAAUCAUUGGGCGUAAAGCGCGUGUAGGCGGCCCGGUAAGUCCGCUGUGAAAGUCGGGGGCUCAACCCUCGGAUGCCGGUGGAUACUGUCGGGCUCGAGUACGGAAGAGGCGAGUGGAAUUCCUGGUGUAGCGGUGAAAUGCGCAGAUAUCAAGGAGGAACACCAAUUGCGAAGGCAGCUCGCUGGGACGUAACUGACGCUGAGACGCGAAAGCGUGGGGAGCAAACAGG